rfam:Desulfobacteraceae bacterium 4572_123 ex4572_123_scaffold_5453, whole genome shotgun sequence.
UCGGACAGCAAGGUGCCGGACAUCCAGUCCGGCUAUGAAUCCACCUUGAGCGCCACCCUCGGCGCCCUGUCAGGGGCCAAUUUUCUCUUUGGUUGCG